rnacentral:rRNA from 1 species
UACGGAGGGUGCAAGCGUUAUCCGGAUUCACUGGGUUUAAAGGGUGCGUAGGUGGGCAGGUAAGUCAGUGGUGAAAUCUUUCAGCUUAACUGGAAAAGUGCCUCCGAUACUGAUCGUCUCGAGGGAGGUAGGGGCAUGUGGAACUUCCGGUGGAGCGGUGAAAUGCGUAGAGAUCGGAAAGAACACCAACGGCGAAAGCACUCUGCUAGGCCUGAUUUCGCGACUGACACUCAGGGACGAGAGCCAGGGGAGCGAAUGGG